GAGAACACAUCUGGGACUUUUUCGCGUUCUCAGUUUGAUGCGUACUUCGAAUUGGAACAGUACUUGGUCUCCGACUGAUGACGUAUCACGAGUACACGAGAACGCAAGUACGCACAAGUACGCAUAUUGAGAAACGGCAUUAGUCUCUCACUGAACGUGCUCCUGUGAUUAGCCAGCACAUCAUGGAGUGGGUGGGAGGUAUUAUCCAGCAUUGUCUUUAUCUUGGACAACAUCCGCUUCUCAGACACCACCCUAUGUGGUCGGAUCCACAAUCCGUCUUUUACAGUGGUGCAGAAACCCAGGAUUGUGACGUGGAGGAACCGCAACCAGGCCAGCCAGGGGAGGCGCUGGCCCAAAUGGUGGCCGAGCUCACCGCCACGCGGAGGAAGCAGGUGGUGGUGUUUCGCCACCAGUGGGAACAACGGCAGGACUGGACCGAGCCCUGGAUGCAGUGGAAAGAGCAUGGAAGGAAAAUGUCCAGAUUGAGAGGUGACUGUGUGGUGGUACCUAAGACUAAAUAUGCUGAGGAUUGCAUCAUUUUGAAUAUUUCCACAAUGAACCAACAAAAAUAUGUCAAGACUUCUGAACUGAGACUGAAUUCUUGAAUUCAGUCUGUUACAGAACAUGAGGCUCAUGCCCACCAAGUCCUGCAGCGUCUCCUGGAGAAUUUUAUACUUUAUGUCAAGGGCGAGAAAUAACAAAGCUAUUAAGUUGGUGACUGGGAGCUGCACACCAUUAAGUUGGUUGGUUGAAGGGGAAGAGCAUCCACUAGUUGUUUGGACAGGCCACCAAUAUCUCACCUACCUGCAGACCAUUUAAUGCCUGAAUGGAUGUCAGCUCAGCUAGUUCAAAAUGCUGCAGCUCGACUCUUGACAGGCACUCGUAAGCAUGACCAUAUUUCCCCAGUCUUGGCUCGUUUACACUGGCUUCCAAAGGAGGCUAAAAAACAGAGGUGAUUGCUGCGCCCAAAGGGAUGUGUGCUCAGCCCCCUGCUGUACACCCUGUUCACCCACAACUGUAUAGCAGCACAUAGCUCCAACACCAUCAUCAAAUUUGCAGAUGACACCACCAUCAUCGGCUGCAUUUCUGAUGAAGAUGAGACGGCAUACAGGGCAGAGGUGAGAGCCCUAACAUCAUGGUGCCGCAACAACAACCUGCUGCUUAACGUCAGCAAAACCAAGGAGCUCAUCG
ensembl:lncRNA